rnacentral:misc_RNA from 1 species
UAAAUGCGAUAAGUAGCGUGAAUUGCAGACGCUUUGAACGUUGAACUUUCGAACGCACAUUGCGCCAUAGAUAGGAGUUCUACCCUAUGUGGCACAUCUGGUUGAGGGUCGUGAUCAAAUACAGCCAUGUUUUGAACUUAA